rnacentral:lncRNA from 1 species
AACAAUGGCAGCCGUGAAGACAAAAUUUUACAAUAUCGGAUCCGAUUCCGGAAGCGGAUAAGGGUAAUUCCGGGUUUUGGCGAUCAACUACAAAAAAAUCAAGACAGGUGACAAAAUACAUCUAUGCAUGGUAAAUGAAUAUAAACACUAGAAUUGAAAACCAAAAGAUAUAUGUAAAAGAAAGAAAAAAUAGAAAAUAUUUUAUACUGAAA